rnacentral:rRNA from 1 species
UACAGAGGUCUCAAGCGUUGUUCGGAUUCAUUGGGCGUAAAGGGUGUGUAGGUGGCGCGCUAAGUCGGGUGUGAAAUUUCGGAGCUUAACUCCGAAACUGCAUUCGAUACUGGCGUGCUUUGAGGACUGGAGAGGAGACUGGAAUUUACGGUGUAGCGGUGAAAAUGCGUAGAUAUCGUAAGGAAGACCAGUGGCGAAAGGCGGGUCUCUGGAC